UUGGAGGGCAAGUCUGGUGCCAGCAGCCGCGGUAAUUCCAGCUCCAAUAGCGUAUAUUAAAGUUGUUGCAGUUAAAAAGCUCGUAGUUGAAUUUCGGGAUCAGAGCGUCGGUCGUGCCUCGGUACGCACUGGUAUUAUUGGUUCCUACCUUCUGAAGAACCGCGAUGUCAUUAAUUUGGUGUCGUGGGGAAUCAGGACUGUUACUUUGAAAAAAUUAGAGUGUUUAAAGCAGGCUUACGCUUGAAUACAUUAGCAUGGAAUAAUGAAAUAGGACGUUUGAUUCUAUUUUGUUGGUUUCUAGGAUUGACGUAAUGAUUAAUAGGGAUAGUUGGGGGCAUUAGUAUUCAAUUGUCAGAGGUGAAAUUCUUGGAUUUAUUGAAGACUAACUACUGCGAAAGCAUUUGCCAAGGAUGUUUUCAUUAAUCAAGAACGAAAGUUAGGGGAUCGAAGACGAUCAGAUACCGUCGUAGUCUUAACCAUAAACUAUGCCGACUAGGGAUCGGAUGAUGUAAAUUCUUUAAUGACACAUUCGGCGCCUUACGGGAAACCAAAGUGUUUGGGUUC
rnacentral:rRNA from 1 species